rnacentral:rRNA from 1 species
AUUGAACGCUGGCGGCAGGCCUAACACAUGCAAGUCGAACGAGUGGCGGACGGGUGAGUAAUGUCUGGGAAACUGCCCGAUGGAGGGGGAUAACUACUGGAAACGGUAGCUAAUACCGCAUACCAUCGGAUGUGCCCAGAUGGGAUUAGCUAGUAGGGGGGGUAACGGCUCACCUAGGCGACGAUCCCUAGCUGGUCGGAGAGGAUGACAAGCCACACUGGAACUGAGACACGGUCAAGACGCCUACGGGAGGCAGCAGUGGGGAAUAUUGCACAAUGGGCGCAAGCCUGAUGCAGCCAUGCAGCGUGUAUGAAGAAGGCCUUCGGGGUGGAAAGUACUUUCAGCGGGGAGGCGUUACCCGCAGAAGAAGCACCGGCUAACUCCGGGCCAGCAGCCGCGGUAAUAC